CCUACGGGGGGCAGCAGUUUCGAAUCAUUCACAAUGGGCGAAAGCCUGAUGGUGCGACGCCGCGUGAGGGAUGAAGGCCUUCGGGUUGUAAACCUCUGUCACUGGGGAAGAAACGCUUCAAGUUAAUAGCUCGAAGCCUGACUUAACCCAGAGAGGAAGCAGUGGCUAACUCUGUGCCAGCAGCCGCGGUAAUACAGAGACUGCAAGCGUUAGCGGGAUUCACUGGGCGGCAAGCGUGCGCAGUCGGCGGGAAAGCCCGGGGCUUAACCUCGGAAUUGCGCCUAAAACUACACGGCUAGAGCAUUGGAGAGGGUAGCGGAAUUCACGGUGUAGCAGUGAAAUGCGUAGAUAUCGGGAGGAACACCAGAGGCGAAGGCGGCUACCUGGACAAUUGCUGACGCUCAGGCACGAAAGCGUGGGGAGCAAAAGGGAUUAGAUACCCCAGUAGUC
rnacentral:rRNA from 1 species